rnacentral:rRNA from 1 species
UGGGGAAUAUUGGACAAUGGGCGAAAGCCUGAUCCAGCCAUGCCGCAUGAGUGAAGAAGGCCUUUGGGUUGUAAAGCUCUUUUAGUGAGGAAGAUAAUGACGGUACUCACAGAAGAAGUCCUGGCUAACUCCGUGCCAGCAGCCGCGGUAAUACGGAGAGGGCUAGCGUUAUUCGGAAUUAUUGGGCGUAAAGGGCGCGUAGGCUGGUUAAUAAGUUAAAAGUGAAAUCCCGAGGCUUAACCUUGGAAUUGCUUUUAAAACUAGUAAGCUAGAGAUUGAAAGAGGAUAGAGGAAUUCCUGAUGUAGAGGUAAAAUUCGUAAAUAUUAGGAGGAACACCAGUGGCGAAGGCGUCUAUCUGGUUCAAAUCUGACGCUGAAGCGCGAAGGCGUGGGGAGCAAACA